CUCGACAGUUUGCGAGCUGCUCGUCUUAAGCAACUGACUCGACUUGAUUCGUUUAAGUUAACAUUACUUAGAAAUAAGAAAUGCGUCUCAUUAUAUCUAUCGCAAUUUUGUUUGCUGCUUGCGCGGCUAUGACAAAAGCUGAAAACUACAGGUAUAAUGCCGUAGACGCAAGAGUUUUAUUCAAACCGAAGAUUUCCCUGACGACGCAAACGACCACGACUACGUCAACUUUUGUUGUUUCUUGUACAAAAUCCACUACGGCCUGCGCAGCACCGGCACCGGCACCAGCACCAGCACCGGCACCGGCACCAGCACCGGGUCCGGCUUUUCUUCUUCGUGGUCGAAGAGGAAAAAAUGAAAACGAAGAACAAUUUCCUGUCCACCCCACUCCUGUCCAAGGACUUGAAGCUACCGCAGUGCCAAAUCGAGAGGAAAGGGCUGCAGAUCCACAGUAUGCCAUGUCUCCACUUUCCUACUACGGUCAAGAGAUCCAAUCUGGUAUAAAUACCAACCCAUUCAACUAUCACUCCAUUUCUCUCCGCGAUGAUUCAUAUCCACAACCUGCAUUUGGACAGCAACGCAUUUUUGGAGUCAACCUCAAUGGAAAUCCAGCAGCUUCUUUCUUCGGAAGCCCAAAUUUUUUUCCUGCUCUCCCAGGAGUUGUGUACACUUUUACGUCAACAUUUACCAUAACGAGCUUUACGGUCACUACAUCCACCUCGACCCCAGCUUGUUCUACGCCGGGGUUUUUACAGUGCCCAUAAGAAAAGCUAAUUGGGACAUUUGAGGAGGUCUUGUCAAAACGGC